UCCCAACUCCUCCUCCUGCCCCCCUCCUCCCCAAAUCUCAUCUGAGUGAGUCAGCUGAGGGUGGCAGCUCAGAGGCGAGGCAGCCGUGAGGCGGAGGACAGGCUGGGGUACCCCAAUGGAUCCGUUCCUUCCCCCGCCCCAGGCACUGGGCCUCUUUGGUGGCACCCUGGGUGGCAGACAAGCCUGGAAAUCAAGUGCACCGGGCCUGGAAAGGAGGACCGGGAGAGUUAUGGGACUUAUGAAGGAAGAAGAGAAAGAGAAUCACUUGGAUGGGAAAAGUUAACUGGAUUGUUCCCACCUGCAUGGAUCAUCCGGGAUGAAGCUGUGCCACCCGGUAGGAAUUAGAAGAUGAGGUCCCAGAAGUGAGCAUUGGGUGCAGGAUCCAGUUUUCUCAGGCACUGAGAUCCAUGGAGAGAAGUUGAAGCUCACACCGCUGCCUCCCUCCCUGGCCCUGGCGCCUCUCUUUAAUCAAGAAGAGCAGCAGGAAAGGAAGGAAGAUCUCAUCGCUGGAGACCAAGUGCUGUGGUCAUUAAGUGGGCCAAUUCUGGAGCCUGACUGCCUGGGUCUGAAUCCCAGCUCCAGCAUAUACUGACCUUGGAUAAUGUAAAUUGGACAGAAGUCACAAAGAGGGAAGUCACAAAAACGGCUACGACCACGUCCCUGCAACACGGAAACUCACAGCCACCCACAGACCAUCAGGAGGAAUGCCGGUGGAAAAGUGUGCUGGCUCCUGUCCUAGAUCAACUCAGAAAGUAAAACACGUGGGAUGUGCCUGGCCCAUCCGUCAGUGUGAGACCUGCAGUGACCACUUCCGCCGGCUGCACAAACCUGGAGAGAGGCUGCGGUGCCCCAACUGUUGUCAUCAGCUCCUUGAAACUAUAUUCCAGUUUCUGCCAGACUCUAAGACAUUCAUUCUCUCAUGAAUUCAUUUACUGAAGACAUUCCUGGAGCCUGAGCUGUUCCAGAUGCUAAAUGCUGGUGAUUCCUCAGCGGACAAAAGAAAAUUCCUGCUUUCGUGGGGCUUCUUCUGAGGACAGUGACACUGGGCCAGCACAGCAACGAAAGUUGAUCUGCACAGCUCCGCGGCUCAGACAGCAUCCAUCAAGCGCCGGGUGCUGGGUUUCCUGUAGUCCUGUGACAGUCCCGCAGUGAAGCAAUGAUGAAGUGACAUGCCAGGGUUGUAGAGUCAGUCAGAGGAUUGGGACUCUGCACGGCCUGCCCCAGAACCCGGGAGAAGAGAGGCAACUCCUAGAACUCCUAAGCACCAGUGAGGGGGUUUUGGAUGAGGCGAGGGGGAUGCUGGAUUGAGGAGGAUGGAGGACCGGCUCACGAGCCUUGGCAUUGCUCCCAAAAAGCCCCUCGGCACCCCCAUGGCCUCCUCCACCCACACGCACACAAGUCCCGGCAGAGCCACUGACCCCUUGGCUCUUGGUCAGGGAUGAGCUAAGUUUCACGAGCAAUUACAUUUCAUGCAAGAUAAAACUGCAGAGGAGACGCUUAAUUAGAUUCUUUCUAAACCUUAGAUUUCUUUGCAAUGAAACAGCCGGAGGGAUGUGAGCGUUCUAUGUAUGUAUUCCCCUUCCCAGCAACGGCUGCUCUCCAAGGCUGGAACAGAAACAGAGCUGACUGCUGCUCCCUGCCCUGCGAAGGCACUGGACUGGCUCCGGUGCAGCCCCAGCCCCCCUGCUCCCCAGCUCUGCCCAGCCAUCUGGCCAACGCGGGCGGGAAGUGGUCCCAGUGGGGCAGGGUGGGCCACUUCCCGCUCGGCAAAUGCCAGGUGUUGGAGUCUGAGCCCAGAUGGCCCUGGUCUACCGGGAAGGCCUGGCCGGGGCGGGGGCUCCCCCGAGACUCCAGCAGCCUGUGCUGUCUCAGUCUUCCCACCUGUGGAAGCCGGCAGGGACCCUGGGAGGUGCAGCUGGAAUGAGAGUUUCCUGGGAGGAGGGACCUCGCCUGUGUUUCUCAUGCUGGGGCCAUGAACUUGAAACAGGGUCAGCAUGCAGUGGACUCACAAGGACCUGCUCGCUUUGGGCUCCUAAAGGGCACAAGUCCACAGGACAGCUCUUGUUCUUCAGGCAUCUGUGCUACCUGGAAAAAGAGUGCCAGAAUAAAUGCAGGACACCCAGUUCAAUUCUAAUGUCAGUUUCUUGCAGAGAGAUGGAAACAGAAGCGCUUCCCAGGCUGCCACGAGGCUGGAUGGAGGCCACACCUGCGGAGUGCUGAGCACAGCCCUUCCGUGAUCGCGAUGAGCACUGCAAAGACCGUGACAACGGCAGCCCUUGCUGCGACACAAGGAGCAUCCCCGCACCUGGCGCCAUCGCACACACGGCAUGCGUUCAAUACAGCCCAGAAGCUUCCAGAGGAAGAUGUCAUGGAGCACCAGCCCCAGACUCUCGUCCAUCCUCAGAAAGCAGGAAGGUUUGAUUCCACAUGCAAGCCUGUUAUCUGUCACCUGGUGUCAAUGUGCCCACCAGCAAGACAGAGCCCAGCUCGGAAAAGGAGAGCAAGUUUGGCAAUAUCCGUGAGGGCCAGGGACUGGGAAGAUCGUGGUAAAUGUGAGCCCUCUGGGCUCCAUCAUUAGGGGCCUCCUUUGGAGACGAGAGAGCAGGCAGAAAACCUGCCCUGUUGAAAACGGGCCUAUGUUUUCUCGAAGAAAUAGUAGCAGCAUAAUGACUCUUGAGUGUGGAUAAAAACGUGUUGCCAGUACUUAGCAAGAGACUAGGCACCUGGUGACGUGGGACGGGUACAUUUGGAUGAGGCACAGCUCAGAAUUGUCCAGAUCACAGGUUGUUUGGGAAGUGGCCUAGUGGGUGUGAGCCCUAAGGGUGACAGCAGAGAGGGGUCCCUGAGUUGCACGUCUCAGUGUGACCCAAGGCAGGCCCACUUUCCUGGGUGGCGUGACCUGCCCUGCCCUCCCCCUCGGUAGCCCGGCCUCACUGGCUUCCCCUCGGCCCAUGUCUCUGCAUUUUUUGUCACUGCUGGGACACAGUUUCCCACCCUUCCCACAUGCUCUGCAGAUGUUGGCACCAGCCUGAGUCCCUGGGCACCUGGCAGAGUCAUUGCACCUGUAAAACUGGAAUUCACAUGCAGAACAGUGGUGUCUGGCCAGGGUCCCUCCCUCCCUCUCCCUGUCCCACGGGUCUGUGAACGCUUAGUACAGACGCACUUCCUGCCUUUGGAAAGCCAGCACCUGGAACAGGGUCAAUAAAUAGCUGCCGAGAUGGGCCCAUUUUAUGGAUGUGGAAAGUGGCGGAGCCGUGUGUUCCUUCUCUCACACUCAAGUGAGAUGUCCAGGGUACUGAUUUAAGGCGGUGCUCACCUUCAGAGACCAACCCUGUGCUGGCACCCCUUGUGAGUGAGUGCCACCUUAAAUAUGAUGCCUUGCUUGUCUGGCCCUUGUCACACCCCAGAGAGGAAGGAGGUGAAGGGCAGAGGGACAGUGGCCAGGCAGCCCUAGCCCAGGGGGCUCUCCACCCCAUUCUGGAGGUACCCAGCUGCCCUAAAAGCCCUGAAGUGAGCUCACUCUGUCCAUCACAUCCAGACACCCAGCUGUGCAGGGAGCAAUCAAGGCAGCCAUUUCCCCCAAUGAGCUUGAGUUUAGAGGACUGGAGGAGCUAUUUGCAGCACUUUAAAAACCUUUUAUAGAUCAGUUUGUUACCAUUGACGACAGUGGAAGAAAUCCUGCUAUUACAGGCAGGAACUCUGAGAGGAUCGGGCAUGGGCUGUUUCUGAUCGGGAAUGCCGUGCUGGUAAUCAAUGCUCCACGUGUCCUUGCAGUGCUGCGUGAGGAAGCCACACACUGGCUUGAGCCUCCCUGCCAUGCAUACCCCUCGUGGCUCGGUGCCCUCCUUGACUGAGAACUUGCGGUGAUUUUUUCGUCUGUAGUCAAGCUAGAGCCCCCAGGCUUCCCGCUCCAGGCUGGCUGCAGCUUGGCAUCAGAUCUGGGUGUCCUGGGGGCAGCACGAGCUGAUCAGGCUGCUUUGCGUCUCACCCUGUUUCCUCCUGUCUUGUUCCCACUCCCUCCUUCCAUGCCUUCGCCCUGCGCCUGCUCUCCCUCAUCUUCUUCCUCCUUCUUUUGUUCUCUCUUCUCCUUGCAUCUCUUUUUCUCCCUUUCCUUCCUUCCUCUUCCUAGAGUCCAAGAAAGUCUAAGGAAAUAAGACGUGUGGGCCCAUAAGGGCUUCUCACCUUGACCGCCCUGGCUCAUGCUAAGAACUGGGCUUCUUCAGACCUGCUGCCUCUGUGGACGGGGCUCUUCUGGAAGAGUCUGUGGGACCCAUGGAUGACAGCAGAGUGAGGCCCACCUGAGACCACGAGGCUCACGUAAUAAUCCUAACUCCACUAAACAGUACGGGUUGGGUGCCAGCGACCUGCCACUGGGUCCCUUUCUUGGAAGGAAGCCAGACACAGCGCCAGGAGACCGUGGUGCAAGAUGGAGGAGGGCGGGGCCCGUGGAGGAGCUGAAGAACGACACCCAGGUCCAGUUGGGUGAACCAAGACGGUUCAGGUGCAGGUGGCCUUGGAGUGGGCCAGGACAGUUGAGUGGCUUUCUGGCCAUGUGGCCUUGCUCAAGCUGCUUCCACUGCUGGAUCCUGUUUUCUGACGAGUGAAAGGGGGCCUGCCCUGCGAAGGAAUGACACCAGGUGAGCUUCCAGAGGGCUGUGCAAAUGUCUGCCCACGUCCACUCCUGUGCCCACAGUUCGAGCGCAUCUGGUCGUCACCAUCAGAGAGUAGGACUGUGUCCCGCCUUCACAGGUAAAGUGUUUAGCAUGCAAAAUGCUUGGCACGGACACUGGCACCUCACAAGAGCCCAAGACAGAGCCACUGGUGCAUACCUUGUUCUUCGUAUUAUCUGGUUUACAAGAAUAGCUAGUGAGCACCCUCCAUGUAUGGGGCACUGUGCCUGUGCCACAGAAGCCACUUGAAAAUGGGACCCGUGCAUCACCCCAAGCCGUCUGGAAUCAAGUUGGAAACUCGAGCUGUUUCCUACUGAGGGGAGGCCCUUAGCCCCUCGGUGAGAAGUCUUUCCUCAAAGGCUCUUGGUCAGUCUUGCCAUUACCAUGAAAAU